rnacentral:lncRNA from 1 species
GAGCAAGCGAGUUUGUAAUCACAUUCUUGUCCAUCAUCUUCUCUUCUCCUUCCAAACUUUUGAGUUUUUCAAAAAAUGGUUAGUUAUUUUUCUUAGUAAACCUAUUUAUGUGGUUAUAUAAUAAAUUCACUAAAGCUUUAGUUUUAUUUCAUUGUUUGUAGUCGAUGACGAUUGUAUUCAAGCAUCCAGGAUAUCCCGAAAAAAAAUGGCGAAAAGGAUUCAAAAUUGCAGGUGGUUUUCCAGGUACAAACCUACACACACCCAACAAUUAUAUUCAACAAACGAAUUUUGAACAAUGUGAAUGAUUGUCAUCUUUUUAUUAUUAUAUUAGGAGUUGAUGUCAUAAGUUGUGGUAUCAUGGACGACGUAUUUGCAGUGAAGGGAGAAAAUAUUGAUCAAGAUAAGUUACUGGAGAAAAUAAAAAAGGUUUUAAAAUCUGUCGAAAUCAUUGAUCACACCAAAUACCCUCCGGAUUAUUUUUUCUAUGAUUUCUAAUAAUGAUGUUUAUUUUUCUUUGGGCAAAUAAUGAUGUUCAUUUAUGUUUUCAUAUUCUAUCAAAGUAAUUGGAUUUGGUGUAAGUCUUAAGAUAUAUUAGUCCAUUCUUAUAAGUUGUAAGUUAUAAACUUUUUGUUCAAGAAGAUUGAUUUUCCUUGGAUGCAUAGUCGAGAGUAUGCCACUAAAAAUAGC